ACAAGGGCAGAGUGUGUGGUAAAAGGGUGAAAGGAGAAGCUAAUUUAUAGGAAGUCUUCACCUUGCUUCAAGGGGAAACCCAAGGUUGCAGAUACAUGAUCUGGCAGCUAGAAAGGGUACCUGGGGGAGGGUGUCUCUAUGAUAGCCCUACUGUGGCCACAUGCCCUUGGGAAGUGCUUUUUUCAUAAAGACAACAUAAGUACUAAUAGCAGCCAACACUGUGUGCUUGUUAGUCGGCUAAAAGCUUGCAUGUGACCUCAUGCCACCCUCAGGACAACCUUACAAGUUCACAAAUCACCAUAAGGAACCAUACUGAAGCUGACUGAGAGACUCUGAGCUGAAUACAAUGACUAGAUGGGAUUUGGAGCUAUUUCCCCUGGGCAGGGCUUGGAAAAACUUUAGAAACAGCCAACGUGCAACUCCAAGAGGAAGAAAUGUUAAGAAGAGGUCAGCAUGGGGAAAAAAGAUGUCCCCAGGGUGGGGCCACAGCCAAUAACAGAAAAUCAGAUAUAAGAUCAAACCCUUCCCAUCUUGCUCUAUCACCACUGCUUCCACCCAAAACAUUGGUUAAGGUAUCUCCUCUGGAAAUUGGGGGGCUGCCCGAGUUGAGAAGCUCCAGAAGUCAACAGUCAAGAAACCAAUAUGGAUAUAACUGUAUAUUAGGGAAAAAGAUCCCAGAGACAUCCUCUGUGCUUAUUCUUGUAUCUCAGUCCAAUCAGGUCCUUUCACAACCUUCGUGUUUUUGCAUAUGCCCUUCCUUUUACCUAGAAUGUUCCUCCUCUGCUUCUUACAUGGAAAAUCUCAUUCUUCAGGACCCAGGUGAAAUAUGACGCCUUUCUCAAGUACUACAGUGAGUUACCUACUUCUUCUGUGCCUUCAUAAUACUUUAUCUGAGCUUUAAAAAAAAAAUCUCCCUGGGCACGGUGGCACACCUGUAAUCCCAGCACUUUGGGAGGCCGAGGUCAGGAGAUCAAGACCAUCCUGGCUAACACGGUGAAACCCCAUCUC